rnacentral:tRNA from 4 species
GCCCCGUUAGCACAAUGGAUAGUGUAUGGCUCUCCUAAAGCCAUGAUCUGGGUUCGACCCCCAGGCGGGGCU